GUGUUCUAUCCUAAAACAGUCUAAUUAGAAUUGUUUUCAAUUUUAACUUUUCACCUUUUUCGUUUGUGUAUGUAUUAUAUAAAGGUUGUUCCUUCCCUCAGCAAGCUGCUUCUAUUCCAUUGAGCAAAGAUAUGCACCGAUUGGCUUCACCAUUCUUGGAGAAUAGACUUGCUGAGGGAGCUGAAGUGGAAAUGGAAGUAAUUCCAAUGAAUGAUAACAAUCAUGAGCUGUCAAACUCAUUUAAGGUUGCGUCACCUUUGGUUGUGGAUGAAACUCUGCUGGAGAAAGUACUAGGGAUGGGCAUAUGUAGGCGGUUUUGGACCACGUAAAACUUUCCCUGAAUCUGUUAUCCUAUGCUAUGAGUCGGCCUAAGAAGUUAAGAACUCAUAGUUGCAAUAUGGAUUAUAUCUUCUGCUUCUGUCCUUGAUGUGGUGAAGUUUGAAGUUCAGCUUUACAGAACUCGGGAGGAGAAAUACUUGCUCGAUUUUCAUGCGCUUUCAAGAAUUGUUUAAUGGCAGUAAAUUUCAUCUCAUGAAGU